UACAGAGGGUGCGAGCGUUGUUCGGAAUUAUUGGGCGUAAAGAGCUCGUAGGCGGCUUGUUGCGUCUGCUGUGAAAUCCCGGGGCUUAACCCCGGGCGUGCAGUGGAUACGGGCAGGCUGGAGGCAGGCAGGGGAGAAUGGAAUUCCCGGUGUAGCGGUGAAAUGCGCAGAUAUCGGGAGGAACACCGGUAGCGAAGGCGGUUCUCUGGGCCUGUACUGACGCUGAGGAGCGAAAGCGUGGGGAGCGAACAGG
rnacentral:rRNA from 1 species